rnacentral:rRNA from 1 species
ACGAAGGGGGCUAGCGUUGUUCGGAAUUACUGGGCGUAAAGCGCACGUAGGCGGAUUGUUAAGUCGGGGGUGAAAUCCUGAGGCUCAACCUCAGAACUGCCUUCGAUACUGGCGAUCUUGAGUUCGGAAGAGGUUGGUGGAACAGCUAGUGUAGAGGUGAAAUUCGUAGAUAUUAGCUAGAACACCAGUGGCGAAGGCGGCCAACUGGUCCGAUACUGACGCUGAGGUGCGAAAGCGUGGGGAGCAAACAG